ACUUUUAAAGUUUAAAGUCAUAAACAUUUCAAUUUCAUUGAAAAGAUAGGCUUCCAAGCCUAAAA
rnacentral:tRNA from 1 species